UGGCGGACGGGUGAGUAAUGUCUGGGAAACUGCCCGAUGGAGGGGGAUAACUACUGGAAACGGUAGCUAAUACCGCAUAACGUCGCAAGACCAAAGAGGGGGACCUUCGGGCCUCUUGCCAUCGGAUGUGCCCAGAUGGGAUUAGCUAGUAGGUGGGGUAACGGCUCACCUAGGCGACGAUCCCUAGCUGGUCUGAGAGGAUGACCAGCCACACUGGAACUGAGACACGGUCCGG
rnacentral:rRNA from 1 species